GCUUUCUUUCCAAACAGCAUAAGAAGUGAUUGAGCCACAAGUAUACUGAAGGAAGGGCUCCCUCGAGUUGUGGUGUGAAGAGAUAAAUCACCAGAGAAAUGAUGGCAUCAAAACAAAAAAAGAACUCAUUGUGAAUAAGAAAAAACAUCUAGGCCCCGUCGAAGAAUAUCAGCUGCUGCUUCAGGUGACCUAUAGAGAUUCCAAGGAGAAAAGAGAUUUGAGAAAUUUUCUGAAGCUCUUGAAGCCUCCAUUAUUAUGGUCACACGGGCUAAUUAGAAUUAUCAGAGCAAAGGCUACCACAUACUGCAACAGCCUGAAUGGAGUCCUGCAGUGUACCUGUGAAGACAGCUACACCUGGUUUCCUCCCUCAUGCCUUGAUCCCCAGAACUGCUACCUUCACACGGCUGGAGCACUCCCAAGCUGUGAAUGUCAUCUCAACAACCUCAGCCAGAGUGUCAAUUUCUGUGAGAGAACAAAGAUUUGGGGCACUUUCAAAAUUAAUGAAAGGUUUACAAAUGACCUUUUGAAUUCAUCUUCUGCUAUAUACUCCAAAUAUGCAAAUGGAAUUGAAAUUCAACUCAAAAAAG
rnacentral:sRNA from 1 species